rnacentral:misc_RNA from 1 species
CAUCAAAAUUCAUGGUUUCUGAUUUCCUUCAUCAAUCAUCGUGCAGUUCUUAUAUUUGUCGUGUCAAUGCAGAAAAUGCUAUCCCAAGUAAAAUUAUAAUAAAGUUAACUAGUGAUUUAUAAAAAGAAAAAGGGACUUACUAGUGUUAGCUUUCUGCUGGUUUUAUUUAUAGUACUUUGUCGAUUGUCGACAACUCUGCACAGUAGCUGUAGCUAUGGAUAAUGUUGUAUUUUCCGGAACAACCGGUGUGUGUGCAAAUAGAACUGAACUAUGGGCUUUACUAUCUUUCAGUUGUUGCUUAGCAUUUUGUGCAUGUUUGAUUUUCUUAGGUGGUAU